rnacentral:rRNA from 1 species
AAUAUUUGGAAGAAAAAGACUUAUUUUUCCAUAGUACAAUCUUAUUCUUUAGUAAAAUCAAGAUCAUUUUCGAGCGGUAAUGAGCAUCCAAAACCAAUUUUUUUAGUUGUCUAUAGAUUUGUAUUGCUUCUGUACGCAUUGCGUGCGUUAGCGCGAGGCUGA